GCAAGUCGAGCGCUCACUUCGGUGGGAGCGGCGGACGGGUUAGUAACGCGUGGGAAUAUGCCCUUCUCUAAGGAAUAGCCUCUGGAAACGGAGAGUAAUACCUUAUAAGCCCUUCGGGGGAAAGAUUUAUCGGGAAAGGAUCGGCCCGCGUUAGAUUAGAUAGUUGGUGGGGUAAUGGCCUACCAAGUCUACGAUCUAUAGCUGGUUUUAGAGGAUGAUC
rnacentral:rRNA from 1 species